GAUGCUGUAGCACAGUGGUUAAGUGUGCUUGAUUUGGGAUCAAAAGGUCUUGCGUUUGAGUCUUUGCCGUGGCU